UGGGGAAUUUUGGACAAUGGGGGAAACCCUGAUCCAGCAAUGCCGCGUGAGUGAAGAAGGCCUUCGGGUUGUAAAGCUCUUUUGUCAGGGAAGAAACACCGGCUCUAACACAGUCCGGGAAUGACGGUACCUGAAGAAUAAGCACCGGCUAACUACGUGCCAGCAGCCGCGGUAAAACGUAGGGUGCGAGCGUUAAUCCGAAUUACUGGGCGUAAAGCGUGCGCAGGCGGGUAUACAAGGCAGGCGGGG
rnacentral:rRNA from 1 species